AAAAUCGGCUGCACUGUCCGCCAUUUUUGUCUCUCGCUUUGGAAAAUCUACUACCAUCUGGAGUUUUACACUUGAAGGUAAAUAAGAUUUUAAAGCUAACACACCAGUGAGAAAGAGUGUAGACCCUUUAUAUAUGUGGACUUUUACUGGGGUGUUGUUAUUUUACAGGUAUGUGGGCUGUUUAUCGAAAACCAUGAAAGGCCAAUGUUAGGCUCCAGUUAGCUAAUGGUAACCGAAAUUAUGCGAUAAGCAAAUUAGUAAUUAACAUAUAUAAUGUGAGUUAAUAUUGUUUGUAUAUUCUUUCAGUCUAAAUUAACAGACUAUUACAAACUUGCAUCGGUGUCUGUAGUAAGUGGAGGUACCUGCAGUGUCUUAACCAUUAAACAAGCUAAUGUAGGGCCGGGAUAUGACUAGUUUGUUGAAACAUGUCUGCUGCCAAUGUGACUGCGCACACAUUGUAACAUUACCAGCACAUAGCCACAGCCGCUAUAAACAUGCUAAAAGAUCAGUCUAGCUUCUGUAGUCAGCAGCUGGAAGACUCAACACAGACACAAGAUUCAGUGUAAUGGUUAUCUAAAUGUUGUGUGUCCUGUUUGUAAGCCCAGAAAAAGAAAUUAAAUAAAAUGACGACCUUGAGCUUCAAGCUAAUGUAAGCGUAAUGCUAUAGCAUAAAGCUAAUGCAAUGAUGAGGUUGUUAAAUUAGUAAAAAUACAGUAAAUAUAUCCAACAUGAAUCAUUUAUAUUUUUGGUCUAAACAUAAUUAAGUCUCACGCCUUUCACUUGUUUUAGAAGGAUGUUCAGUCUUUUAAAACCAGUCAUGUCAAAAUAACAGAAAAUAGUUAUGUUUUCUGUUGAAACUCCACCCCCCAGGGUGUGUUCUGCGAGGGAAAAUUCAGUGUGGCGGUCCGCCAUUUUUUGUCUUCGCUUCGUUUACCUUUGGUGCUGAGCUUUACUUUGUCGAGAUAAAUGCAGAGUUUAAGUGCAUUACCACCAUGCCACUGCAGUCCAGAUUACUCUCGCAGAUAGAUGUGCUAUCUGAAAAACUAAUAAAGGUCUUCAAAAGGUGAGGAGGACAAAUAGGAAGAAGACUUCAGAACAUUCUGGAGCCCACGGCCCAGGCCACAGAUGAAGCCAUUAUCCAACGAUCUAAUAAGGAAACAACCAUGGGAAUUUACAUCAUAAAGACAAGAGAUGCCAAUGGCAGCCCUGAGGACAUCGGGAUAGUCCUUGAAGGCCAGAGAGUCUGGCAGGAUUUGGAUAACUAUACCCUAGCAGCUGCAAUGCUGUUUGGACUAAUGUACACUUUGAACCUCACCUACCCACUGGAAAAGUAUACCUUCGAGGUAUUAUAGAAACUGGUUAUGGAGCUCAAAAGGAACAGCCUUUCAAAGAAGGCCCAGGUUUUCAGGACCAGACUGUACGAUUGAACAGUUUUCCAGUUAUGAUGUGGGAACAACAUGUUUACCUCUUCGAAUAUGUACCAUCCUUUCUUUUAAGCCAGCACUGGUAAAGUUGCAGUACA